CCUGAAUAUGAUGCUCAAGUGACACAGGCAUUGACUACAAGUUGGACAAAAUGGCCUUUUAGUUUAUUCCAGGCCUGAGACUCUGAGUUUAUAAUUCUCCGGCUGGGGGGAAGUAAACUUUACUCACCAAUGCCUGUGCUGAUCAGAUAACCUCAAAGCCCAGACACACUGCAUAAUUCUCCGACAGCAAUAACUCAGCUGGCAGUUCCCAGGCAGAGAUGUGGGAGAAAGUCCAAUAUCCGGGAAGCGCUAGGAUCUACAACUUCCUGUGGUCUGCCUAGUGAAAUUUGACCAGAUAAGAACAGUUAAUAAGAAGCUCUCGAGAUAGAAAAGCUCCUUUUAUUUCUGAAUGCGGGUAUAUUGAUGUUAAAUACCUGAAUGCAUGAAGUUAAUUUGAAUAAUCUUCUAUUGUUGCAAGAAAUAUGGAAAAGUAUUCAGGAAAACUAGAAAAAUUCUUCAUACUUGUGGCAUGAACCGAAAGAAGUCUUUCACUAUUUUGACAAAUGAUGACUCUACUGUUUUGUGUGAGGGUAGAAGCUUUUAAGGACUGGACCCCAAGGCACCCCAUUGUGGUGCCUAGGAAAAGAUCAAACCUCAUAUUCUGGACCUUCCUUCUAUAACACUUUGCAAGUCAUGCCAGAUUCCCAUCAAGGCUGAACAAUUUGCCUUGAGGCCCCCAAAUAUUUCCAAAUGUAGUUAAUGGCUUCAAAAAGAAAACAAGCAUUGCAAUGAAAGCACUUAAUGUCUAUCAAUUCAAUUGCCAAGAAGUUCUUCUCUUUUGAAUACUCAAAGGACAGGAUCCCUGGGCAAUGACUUAUUGUUUCCCUUGCCUGCACUGCAAUGAUUACAGAGACUGUCCAGGAGUUUGAAACACAUCAGAGUUCUGCACCUGAAGAGAGAAGGGAAGCUGGAAGACACAGUGGAUUGGCUUUUCAUACAUCUGGGAUUGGACUGAAGUAGGAGUGGAUUGAUUGGACUGAAGUGCUAAGAGUAUGGAAUUGUUCAUUUUUGUUGUUAGAGUGUCAGUUGCCUAGAAUAAAGGUAUUUGUUGACACAGUGAGGUCUAGGUCUUAAGGCACAUACAUGAACUUGACACAAAACUUUGGGGAAUCCAUUUGCCUCUGCCUCUGUGAGACUUAAGUUUUCUUCUCUUUUUCUUUUUUGAAAAUCAGUGGAAUUUACAUAUAGUGAAAUACACAUAUCUUAAGCAUGAAACUGAUGAAUUAUGACAGAUGUGUACACCUAUGUAACCACAAGCCCAAUAAAGGUAUGGAAUAUUUCUACAGUCUCCCCAGAAUCUCUUGCAUUCCCUUCUAGUCAGUCUCUACUUCAGUUGGCAACCACUGUUCUGUUUUCCAUUUCCCCAGAUUAGCUUUGCCAGUUCUUAAACUUCAUAAAAGCAUACAAUACGCAUUUUUUUGCAUCUAGCUUCUUGUACUUGACAUAACAUGUUUGAGAUUUAUCCAUGUUGUUGCAUGUAUUAGUUGUUUGUUAUUUCUUAUUACUGAGUAACAGUCCAUGGUGUGAAUAUACCACAGUUGGUUUACCUAUUCUUCUAUUGAUAGAAUUUGGGUUGUUUCUGAUUUGGAGCUAUGUUGAAUAAUGCUGCUAUAAACAUUUUUGAACAAGU